rnacentral:rRNA from 1 species
GACGAACGCUGGCGGCGUGCUUAACACAUGCAAGUCGAACGGAAAGGCCCUGCUUUUGUGGGGUGCUCGAGUGGCGAACGGGUGAGUAACACGUGAGUAACCUGCCCUUGACUUUGGGAUAACUUCAGGAAACUGGGGCUAAUACCGGAUAGGAGCUCCUGCUGCAUGGUGGGGGUUGGAAAGUUUCGGCGGUUGGGGAUGGACUCGCGGCUUAUCAGCUUGUUGGUGGGGUAGUGGCUUACCAAGGCUUUGACGGGUAGCCGGCCUGAGAGGGUGACCGGCCACAUUGGGACUGAGAUAAGGCCCAGACUCCUACGGGAGGCAGCAGUGGGGAAUAUUGCACAAUGGGCGGAAGCCUGAUGCAGCAACGCCGCGUGCGGGAUGACGGGCUUCGGGUUGUAAACCGCUUUCGCCUGUGACGAAGCGUGAGUGACGGUAAUGGGUAAAGAAGCACCGGCUAACUACGUG